GGACUUGUGGCGUAGUGGUUAUCGCGUUCGCCUUACAUGCUCUGUUUCGCGAAAGGUCUCUGGUUCGAUCCCGGGCAGGUUCA